ACAGAGGUCACUUUUCGUACCCGUAAACAGCCACACUUCGCCUCGGACAGUUGAAAAUAUCAUUAGUUCGACCAUCAACUAGCGACCAUACACAAUAAAUAUAAAUUUACACCGUUAAAUCACGUCCAUCAUGUUCGUAUACAUAAUUCUUUCAAACGCGCUCCGCCGAAAUGAAUUUUUCCAACACGCUUCAGUCCUCGUGAAUUAUUUCAAGAAAACUGAAAGCAUACAGCGAAAUACUCCGAAACAGAUUCCAUCUUGUUGCAGAAGAAGAGAGAUUAUAAUUUUCGACACAGUUCUCAUUUUCACAUUUACCGGUGCUGAUUGGAUUAUAUUGACUUCUACAUAGUAAGACAGCAAGAUCAAUGAGUAUACUAGUAAUUAGUGCAUUUUCUUUAUAAUAUUUGUUUAAUAUUUCAUUAAUUCAUUCAUACCAACACAUUUAGGGAGUUAGAAAAAAUUGAGGAAUAAUUUAAACUAGUACAUUUUUACAUAUAUCAUUAAAUUAUUGUGUUAGUAGGUAUGUUAUUAAAUAUCAAUACAUUGUAGUAUUUCUUUUGAUUCGUUAAGGGUAUUUAACCCUAAUCUACGAACAGUUUUGACAAUUGUUUCGUUG